rnacentral:rRNA from 1 species
GCUAUUGUCUGUGCGGCAGGCGGGGUGAUACGGGGUAUCCGAGAGUUAUCCGGAAUUACUGGGCGUAAAGAGUGGCGUAGGUGGAAUUGUAAGUCGUUAGUGAAAGCGUGUGGCGCAACCAUAUAUACAUUAUGGAAACUGGAAGGCUAGAGGACGAGAGAGGGUAUUGGAAUUCCCAGUGUAGGAGUGAAAUCCGUAGAUAUUGGGAGGAACACCGAUGGCGUAGGCAGAUAACUGGCUCGUUCCUGACACUAAGGCACGAAAGCGUGGGGAGCAAACGGGAUUAGAUACCGGGUAGUC